rnacentral:rRNA from 1 species
CAGCAGCCGCGGGAAUACGGAGGGUGCAAGCGUUACUCGGAAUCACUGGGCGUAAAGGACGCGUAGGCGGAUUAUCAAGUCUCUUGUGAAUUCUAACGGCUUAACCGUUAAACUGCUUGGGAAACUGAUAAUCUAGAGUAAGGGAGAGGCAGAUGGAAUUCUUGGUGUAGGGGUAAAAUCCGUAGAGAUCAAGAAGAAUACCCAUUGCGAAAGCGAUCUGCUGGAACUUAACUGACGCUAAUGCGUGAAAGCGUGGGGAGCAAACAGGAUUAGAUACCCGAGUAGUCCCUGUCUCUUAUAA